GACGAACGCUGGCGGCGUGCCUAACACAUGCAAGUCGAACGGUGAACCGGGCUUCGGCCCGGGGAUCAGUGGCGAACGGGUGCGUAACACGUGGGCAACCUGCCCCCGACACUGGGAUAACUCCGGGAAACCGGAGCUAAUACCGGAUACUCUCGACCGAUCUCAUGACCGGUCGAGGAAAGGUCCGCCGGUUGGGGAUGGGCCCGCGGCCUAUCAGCUUGUUGGUGAGGUAACGGCUCACCAAGGCGACGACGGGUAGCUGGUCUGAGAGGACGACCAGCCACACUGGGACUGAGACACGGCCCAGACUCCUACGGGAGGCAGCAGUGGGGAAUCUUGCGCAAUGAGCGAAAGCUUGACGCAGCGACGCCGCGUGGGGAUGAAGGCCCUCGGGUUGUAAACCCCUUUCGGCAGGGACGAAGCGAACGUGACGGUACCUGCAG
rnacentral:rRNA from 1 species